AUUGAACGCUGGCGGUAGGCCUAACACAUGCAAGUCGAACGGCAGCACAGUAAGAGCUUGCUCUUACGGGUGGCGAGUGGCGGACGGGUGAGGAAUACAUCGGAAUCUACUUUGUCGUGGGUGAUAACGUAGGGAAACUUACGCUAAUACCGCAUACGACCUACGGGUGAAAGCAGGGGAUCUUCGGACCUUGCGCGAUUGAAUGAGCCGAUGUCGGAUUAGCUAGUUGGCGGGGUAAAGGCCCACCAAGGCGACGAUCCGUAGCUGGUCUGAGAGGAUGAUCAGCCACACUGGAACUGAGACACGGUCCAGACUCCUACGGGAGGCAGCAGUGGGGAAUAUUGGACAAUGGGCGAAAGCCUGAUCCAGCCAUACCGCGUGAGUGAAGAAGGCCCUCGGAUUGUAAAGCCCUUUUAUUGGGGAAGAAAAGCAGCAGGUUAAUACCCCGCUGUUCUGACGGUACCCAAAGAAUAAGCACCGGCUAACUUCGUG
rnacentral:rRNA from 1 species